GAUGAACGCUGGCUACAGGCUUAACACACGCAAGUCGUGGGGAAACGGCAUUAUGUGCUUGCACAUUCUGGACGUCGACCGGCGCACGGGUGAGUAUCGCGUAUCCAACCUGCCCCUUACUUGGGGAUACCCCGUUGAAAGACGGCCUAAUACCCGAUGUGUUUCAUUGACGGCAUCCGAUAUGAAACAAAGGUUUUCCGGUAAGGGAUGGGGAUGCGUCUGAUUAGCUUGUUGGCGGGGCAACGGCCCACCAAGGCGACGAUCAGUAGGGGUUCUGAGAGGAAGGUCCCCCACAUUGGAACUGAGACACGGUCCAAACUCCUACGGGAGGCAGCAGUGAGGAAUAUUGGUCAAUGGACGCAAGUCUGAACCAGCCAAGUAGCGUGCAGGAUGACGGCCCUAUGGGUUGUAAACUGCUUUUAUGUGGGAAUAAAGUGGCGCACGUGUGCGCCAUUGCAUGUACCUCAUGAAUAAGGACCGGCUAAUUCCGUGCCAGCAGCCGCGGUAAUACGGAAGGUCCGGGCGUUAUCCGGAUUUAUUGGGUUUAAAGGGAGUGUAGGCGGUCUGUUAAGCGUGUUGUGAAAUUUAGGUGCUCAACAUUUAACUUGCAGCGCGAACUGUCAGACUUGAGUACACGCAGCGCAGGCGGAAUUCAUGGUGUAGCGGUGAAAUGCUUAGAUAUCAUGAGGAACUCCGAUCGCGAAGGCAGCCUGCGGGAGUGUUACUGACGCUUAAGCUCGAAGGUGCGGGUAUCGAACAGG
rnacentral:rRNA from 1 species